UACGGGGGGGGGCAAGCGUUGUUCGGAAUUACUGGGCGUAAAGGGCGCGUAGGCGGCCUUCUAAGUCGGACGUGAAAUCCCUCGGCUUAACCGAGGAACUGCGUCCGAUACUGAAAGGCUUGAAUCCGGGAGAGGGAUGUGGAAUUCCAGGUGUAGCGGUGAAAUGCGUAGAUAUCUGGAGGAACACCGGUGGCGAAGGCGGCAUCCUGGACCGACACUGACACUGAGGAGCGAAAGCCAGGGGAGCAAACGGG
rnacentral:rRNA from 1 species